rnacentral:rRNA from 1 species
GACAGAGGGGGCAAGCGUUGCUCGGAAUUACUGGGCGUAAAGGGCGCGUAGGCGGGAUGGCAAGUCGGUCGUGAAAUCCCUCGGCUCAACCGAGGAACGUCGAUCGAUACUGCUGUUCUUGAGGAUUGCAGAGGAGACUGGAAUUCCCGGUGUAGCGGUGAAAUGUGUAGAGAUCGGGAGGAACACCAGUGGCGAAGGCGACUACCUGGCCUGUUCUUGACGCUGAGGCGCGAAAGCUGGGGGAGCAAACGGG